rnacentral:rRNA from 1 species
CACACGACUCUCGGCAGCGGAUAUCUCGGCUCUCGCAUCGAUGAAGAACGUAGCGAAAUGCGAUACCUGGUGUGAAUUGCAGAAUCCCGUGAACCAUCGAGUCUUUGAACGCAAGUUGCGCCCGAGGCCAUUCGGCCGAGGGCACGCCUGCCUGGGCGUCACGC